rnacentral:tRNA from 1 species
CCUGGUGUCUCAGAUGGUAAAGAAUCUGCCUGCAAUUCAGGAGACCCAGGUUCAAUCCCUGGGUCAGGA